rnacentral:lncRNA from 1 species
AUCCCAUUUCAAAACCCUAAUUUCUCUUCAACAACCUGCAACAAUUUUAAACUGUGAAAUAUAACCCGUACUCGAACCGUGACCCAACGUGAACCAAGCUAAAACCCGAAUCAAAACUCGAAUCACCCGUAAUUGAACUGGGCUUGAACCGAAGUUAAAACUCAUACCCGAACGAAACCAGAUCUGAUCCGAAUCGAGACGUCACCCAAAAACCCAAAACCCGUCUCGAACCGAAUCACCUCCACUGUCCCCGUCGCCCACUGUCGCAGACGACGACGACGCAGCCGCCGUCGUCACCACCAUCAUCGAUCAUCAUCAACAGCAACAUCACUAUCAUCAUCAUAAUUUUUCAAAAAACAAGUGGCUAGGAUUAGGAUUUAUGGUCAUGUGGUGUAAUUCUUUUCAUUCUUAUGAUACUUAAGGCUGACUUCACAUGUCCUCCAUGGUUCUCCUCAAGUGCAAAGAAGCUAAUUAAAAGGAUUCUGGAUCCUAAUCCUGUGACGAGUGGCGCGUGGAUUACGGUGUGAAUUUGUUAUUCAAUUUUGGAAUUAAGAUUUGGAAGUCGGGGUGAAGUUUUUGAACGAGACAGAACGUUUACACAUUAGAAAAAUUGAAUUGAACAUUGGGGUUUGAUUGAAAUCCUUUGCGAAUUAGGGUUAAAGGAUAGGAGAUAAGGGUCAAUUUGGAGGGAAUUGGAAGAGGGUGUGUGGAUGGUGAGAGCAUUGAUUAGACGUGAUUGUUUUCUGUGGAAAAAUUGUCAUAAGAUACAUGCUUCAUUCUUGAUAAGUCACGUUGUUUGAAAUCACAUUGAAAUGAAUCGACGUGAUGACUCGAUGGUAAGUGCCCUUGAAACAACUAAUACAGCCUUUCAUAAAACAGAGUCACGUUGGCUGGAAUCAUAUUGAAAUGAACCAACGUGAUGGUUUGGUGAUAACUGCCCGUUAAAAAGUCAAACGUCAAACUUUUGAACAUGAGGGAUGAGUGGUCUUCAACUUUGACCAUGUCCGUAUGGACAUUAACCAUUUCUUUAUUCUGUCUAUCAUAUGUCACCAAACAAACAUACUUUAAAUACAUACUCAAGCCGCAAAUGCAAAUUCUAUUAUCACUUUUAUAUACUUUAAACUACUUGAAAGUUAUUAUUUUUUUCUAACUUAAUCUGCAGGGCUGACCUUGAGAAUUCAUGUACCCUGUUCGAGACUGAAAAAACGUGUCAUUAGGCCUUAACGAAAUUGAGUAUUUGGCUCAUUAAAGGUUUAAACCUAAUGGCAAUGGGCUAAUAAAUAAUCUAAACCAUAAAAAUAGUUUUGUAAGUGGAUCAAUGUUGGUGUUUGUAUGAGUAUACUCUAUGAAUUUAUUUACUUUUACAUUU